rnacentral:rRNA from 1 species
AAUCAACGCUGGCGGCGUGCCUCAGACAUGCAAGUCGAACGAUUAAAAGCUCUCUUCGGAGAGUGUAUAGAGUGGCGCACGGGUGAGUAACACGUAAGUAAUCUACCCUCGAGUGGGGAAUAACAACCGGAAACGGUUGCUAAUACCGCAUAAUGCAGCGGCACCGCAAGGUGACAGUUGUUAAAGAUUUAUCGCUUGAGGAGGAGCUUGCGGCAGAUUAGCUAGUUGGUAGGGUAACGGCUUACCAAGGCUACGAUCUGUAACCGGUCUAAGAGGACGGUCGGUCACACUGACACUGAAUAACGGGUCAGACUCCUACGGGAGGCAGCAGUCGGGUAAUUUUGGGCAAUGGGCGAAAGCCUGACCCAGCAACGCCGCGUGAAGGAUGAAGUAUUUCGGUAUGUAAACUUCGAAAGAAUAGGAAGAAUUAAUGACGGUACUAUUUAUAAGGUCCGGCUAACUACGUG